GAUGAACGCUAGCGGGAGGCCAACACAUGCAAGCCGAGCGGUAUUGUUUCUUCGGAAAUGAGAGAGCGGCGUACGGGUGCGUAACACGUGUGCAACCUGCCUUUAUCUGGGGGAUAGCCUUUCGAAAGGAAGAUUAAUACUCCAUAAUAUAUUGAACGGCAUCGUUUAAUAUUGAAAGCUCCGGCGGAUAGAGAUGGGCACGCGCAAGAUUAGCUAGUUGGUGAGGUAACGGCUCACCAAGGCGAUGAUCUUUAGGGGGCCUGAGAGGGUGAUCCCCCACACUGGUACUGAGACACGGACCAGACUCCUACGGGAGGCAGCAGUGAGGAAUAUUGGUCAAUGGGUGCAAGCCUGAACCAGCCAUCCCGCGUGAAGGACGACUGCCCUAUGGGUUGUAAACUUCUUUUGUAUAGGGAUAAACCUACCCUCGUGAGGGUAGCUGAAGGUACUAUACGAAUAAGCACCGGCUAACUCCGUGCCAGCCGCCGCGGUAACAC
rnacentral:rRNA from 1 species